UACGUAGGGUGCAAGCGUUUAAUCGGAAUACUGGGCGUAAAGCGUGCGCAGGCGGCUAUGCAAGACAGAUGUGAAAUCCCCGGGCUCAACCUGGGAACUGCAUUUGUGACUGCAUGGCUAGAGUGCGGCAGAGGGGGAUGGAAUUCCGCGUGUAGCAGUGAAAUGCGUAGAUAUGCGGAGGAACACCGGUGGCGAAGGCGGGUCUCUCGGGCCGGAUACUGACGCUGAGGAGCGAAA
rnacentral:rRNA from 1 species